GAUGAACGCUGGCGGCGUGCCUAAUACAUGCAAGUCGAGCGAACAGACGAGGAGCUUGCUCCUCUGACGUUAGCGGCGGACGGGUGAGUAACACGUGGAUAACCUACCUAUAAGACUGGGAUAACUUCGGGAAACCGGAGCUAAUACCGGAUAAUAUAUUGAACCGCAUGGUUCAAUAGUGAAAGACGGUUUUGCUGUCACUUAUAGAUGGAUCCGCGCCGCAUUAGCUAGUUGGUAAGGUAACGGCUUACCAAGGCGACGAUGCGUAGCCGACCUGAGAGAGUGAUCGGCCACACUGGACCUGAGACACGGUCCAGACUCCUACGGGAGGCAGCAGUAGGGAAUCUUCCGCAAUGGGCGAAAGCCUGACGGAGCAACGCCGCGUGAGUGAUGAAGGUCUUCGGAUCGUAAAACUCUGUUAUUAGGGAAGAACAAAUGUGUAAGUAACGAUGCACGUCUUGACGGUACCUAAUCAGAAAGCCACGGCUAACUACGG
rnacentral:rRNA from 1 species